rnacentral:rRNA from 1 species
UGGUGGAGCGAUUUGUCUGGUCAAUUCCGAUAACGAGCGAGACUCUAGCCUACUAAAUAGUUCGGGGACCCCCACAAAGGGGCCCCGCUUCAACUUCUUAGAGGGACAGGUGGCGUUUAGCCACACGAGAUUGAGCAAUAACA